UACGGUCAAAUCACGCUGAAACACCGGUUCUCGUUUGAUCACCGAAGUUAAGCAUCUUAGAGCCAGGUCAGUACUUAGAUGGGGGGGGACCGCUUGGGAACACCUGGUACCGUAAG